UGGGCAGCUCUGGAGUAGGCUCAGGAUACGUGGGGAAAGAAUGUUCUGGACUUGAGAAUUUCAGGCUUGUUGCUUGAAGUGAGACAAGGGAUAAGGAAGGGAUAUCUCUUCUGGAAUCUCCUCAUCAAAGAAGGUGGGAGCUGGAAGGUACAGGUGGGUGCUCUGCCUGGCUACCUACUACUUACAGGACCUUGAAGCCAUCGAAAUCCAGUGGCAAGUUAAAAGUCAGGAGAACUGUAAUGGCACCUUUGACGAUGUCUGCUCUACACACUCCACAAUGCCUGCUUCAGCCCCUUCACGGCCAUUGUAAUAAAUUGUUCUCAUCGGCUCGUUUCAACAGGGGAGAUCUUUGCAUGCUUGGGAAGGACAGCCCCCUCACUCAUGGACAGGUUUAAGGUGAGAGUUGGCUGAGAGGUGGACACGAAAGGUGGAUGAGCAGCCCUGAAUUUGGAAGAGAGAAGGGUUUGAAAGUGAAGAUAAUGAUCUCAAUUUUGGACACAUUCAGCUUAAGAUGUCCCAGUAUUCAAUGCGAAGUCUACUGCCACCCACAAAGAAGAUGAAAAGGUCAAAUCUAAUGGUUAACACUGAUGGUUCAUGCUCAUAAUUACAUUUAAAGUUUUCCUCACAACAAUCCUAUA
rnacentral:lncRNA from 1 species